CGGAAAAUUAUAUGCAAAAAUUGCGUUUAUGUUUGAAAACGCACGAGAGUUCAACCUCUACCACCGCAUCAUAAUGAACAAUCGUCUUCCUUUUUUGUGCAACUAAUUAAACCUAUUUGGUAUUUGUUAAACGAUUAUUAUAAUCAGACGAUAAAUUUAAUAUGCCAUCUGUACUUGCAAAAAGACAUAAUCAUUUUGGCAUAGACAAGCCGGAAACUAAUCUAAAUUGUUUGAAAUCAAGCAAAAAUCAUCAUUAUGAAUCGUAAACACCGUACCAUCAGUCAACGUCGCAACAGAUUUUUAUCCGAAAUCGACUAAGAGAUGAAAUUCGAUGUUUUCAAACAGUCGUCUUACAUAUAUUCGAUUUUACAAAGACUGACAAAUUUGUUCUCAUAAUACCUAGUGCGUAAAAGUUAUCAGGGUUUUUAUGCGGAUUAGGCAACAUUUUAAUGAGACUAACUAUCAAUUCGGCUC